CAUCAGCCAGUGGUGGGCAGACCCAGGGCCAGAAGCCAAGGGCACAUUCUUUCCAGGACCCUGGGCUGGGAUUGUGAUCUCUGCCCUGCAGAAUCCAAAGUUCAGAAGCCAAGGCCAGCAUAGGUGCAGAAGUGGCUCCAGAAUUCUUAUGAAGAGAGAAUUUGAGGGGAGAUUAAGAACUGGUCUUGAAGUCCUGUUUGCAUAUUCUCUACGGAUGAUGCACCCUGUGGUAGGUGUGGAGAUAUUCUGCUCCACCUCCCUUCAAGGAAAAGGAUGCGCUGCCCAGCUGCCCAGGUCAAACUACUAUCACGUCAGUCGCUCCAUUACUUGCAUAAGCCCAGGGUGAAGUUACUCAAGAUCAACCAUUGAUCCCUUGCCGACUGAGCCUGCAUCUCCACCAUCCAAAGUCCCUAAACUUUUUGACAACUGCCACCCUUCAGUACAGAGCGUUUUCAUUCUUCACCAGGGCAACAGGGGGGUUAGAUUUCAUCUCUGGUUUGCUGUGUUGCCUUCAAAUACAUUGCUUAACCUCUCUGAACCUCCUUUUUCCAUUUCUGAAUAUCAAGGAGAGCUGCUAUGAGUCUCUGUUACCUUCAGGGAUAGGAGUGACUAUGUUUCCAAUGCUUUACAUUUAAUAUAACAGCCCUAUGAGGUUAUUAUACCCAUUUUACAGUUAAGGAAACUGAGGCUCAGGGAAGCUAAGUGUUUCAUACUAGUAAGUGGUAGAGUUGGGAUUCAUUCCUCCUACUCCCAGUCCAAGUUUCUCUCUAGAGUACCUCUGGAGACUUUCCAGAUUUUUAUAAAUGAGAGGGAUCUGAGAAGUCAGUAGUCCUGGGACUUGAAACCCAAAUGCUCCAGAAGCCAGGAGAGUGACCCAGAAGAGAGAAGAGCUGAUGGGAUUGUGGAGUUGUACACUCACGUUUGUCAACAGGGCAAUGAGUAAUCAGUUCCAGCCAGCUAUUACCUGUGGGGAUGUGGGCCUGGUUUGGCCAGGUUUUGUUCAAGAGAAGCUGGAAAUCUGAAUUUUGAUGUGAAAUCCAUUGAUUUAAAAAUUCUUUUGGUUUUAAUUCCAUUUAUAGAAAAUAACCAGAAUAGGUAAAUCCAUAGAGACAGAAUGCAGACUGGCGGUUUCCAGAGGCUGGGAGGAGGGAGGAAUGGACAGUGACUGCGAAUAGGUAUUGGUUUCCUUUUGGGGUGAGGAAAAAGUUUUAGAACUAGAUAGAGAUGGUGGCUGCACAACAUUGUGAAGGCACUAGGUAAACUGUUCACUUAAAAAUGGUUAAUUUUAGGUUAUGGGACUCUCUUCUCAAUUAAAAAAGUGUAUUGGUUCUAAAAUUUUCUUUAUUAUUGUAUGUAUUUUUUAAUAUUAGGGGAAAGUAUUUUUAUCAAAGAUUAAUACACAUGGAAAAGUACAAAUGGUAUACAGCUUCUGAAUUUUUGCAAACUGACCACACUUAUUUAAUCUGCUCAGAUAUGCAAGCAUAUUAUAGGCACGUAUAAGGGGGAAUUGACUUUGUUGUAUAAAAAUCAUAUCACACACUAUGUGGGUCUCUGCAUCUUACUUACCAAAUGUUUGAAUAUUGGCCUCUGUGCUGGAGAUUCUGUGUGCCCCUCCCAGGCUCUUCCCUCCUUGCCCUACUGUGCGCCCCAAGCCCUUUGCUCUCAGGCCACCAGAGGCUCUGGCAGAUGAGAGGAGAGAAGAGGGGCUCCCUCUCUGCCAGACGUUGUUUUAGUAGCAGCUGUGUUCUUCCGAAGGCCACACUCCUGUGGGUGGCUAUGACCCUCUUGAGGAUCCCAAACUGCUCCCUCCCCUUGGCCCUUUAGGUCUGGGGGUGAUACCCCACCCCUAGGGUUGCCAGUCCUAGACGUUUUCAUCAUCCCUUAUUUGCUCUCUCAAACUUGCCCAUGUCUCUGUAAACAGCAUUUUUAUCAAAUGUCCCUUAACUAUCCUGAGUGUGCCAGCUGUUUCAUGAUGGGGCUCUGAACUGAUUCAACGCCUAAUUUAAAAUUCUUAAAAACUCUCAGUGAGCCAACUCACAUAGACUGGUCACAAAUGUAGACCUUGGAGUCCAGUCUCUUGCUUUAUAGAUGCAGGUACUGUGAGUAAUUGGCUUGCCAGUUUGCCUGGCUCCAAGGUCAGGGCAGAGGGGAAAUGUGGAAGGUUUGCAGGGUCCUUAAAGCAGGCAGUAGGGUCAUGCCCCGCCCAGGUCCUGAGGGGAGCUCUCGUCCCCCUGGCUCCACUUCCCCAUUCCAUAUUUCCUGGUCUCCUUGUUCUGAAAUGACAAUGAAAGACAUGGAUAUUUUGAAAAGGCAAACAAUUUAAGUUCUAGAUCUUGGCAGCUUUGUAAAACCAAGCCUAUGUUGGCUGCCAGUGGCCACUGCAGGUAAGACAAACCUGCAUAACCAGAAUGGGGAAGGAGCAGGCUCUUCUGUCUGUUACCUGAGAAUCCUCACUUAAAUACUCAGUCAAACAUCUAAAGAUAAGCAUCUGUCCAUAUCCUCUGAGUCCCCAGUGCGUUACACACACGUACAGGUGCAUUUACCACACAGAUGAAAAGUACAGUAAACAGUCCGGCUUUGGGGCAGGUCAGAGAAUGAUUCCCAGGAGAGGUAAUGUUUAUGCUGGAUGGAGCUUGAAGGAGGAGCUGAAAUCAGCUUGGCUGGAGGUGGUGUCACCUAGAGAAGGGAGGAGCAGGUGCCAAGACCUGUUGCUGAGAGAGACCGAGCAAUAAAUGUGCCAGAAACUGCUAGAAAUUCAGUGUGGCUGGAAAUAAGGGGUGUGUGGUAGUGUGUGCAUGUGUGCGUGUGCGCAGGGAUCAAGAGGCAAGCAAGUAGCAGAAGGAUAAGAGAAGGUGCUGGAAAGUCAUCGAAACCUUUUAAGCAGCAGGGUAAUAAUGCUAUUCUUUGGGUAGGUUAUUCUGGCUGCUGUGUGGAGAGGCUGAAAGGGUCAACUGGAAGUAGAGACAAGUUCAGAGGCCUCUGCCAUCUGAAAAGAGAUUGGGGUGGUGGCAUGAGAGCAGAAGUGGGGGUGAUGGAAUGGCUUUGAGAGCUAUGAAGGCAGUAGAAGGGACAGGAUUUAGGUUCAUUAUAAUAACAACAUAAUAUAGUGACUUUAACAAUAGCUCUGGUUUCCCACUGCAUAGGUGAGAAUCUUCUCCCCACCCUUUGUAUUUGGAAAAAUUUCAAACCUCACAAGAGUUGCAAAAUAGUUUCCAUGAACAUCCAUGUACCAUCAUAUAGAGUUACCUAUUGUUACAUUUUGCCUUUCUCUCUUUUUCUCUCUUGGUCUCUGUCUCUCUUUAUAUAUACAUGUAUCUGUGUAUGUAUUACUUCCCCUACCAACCCAACCACUUGCAAAUUUGUUGCAGAAAUCAGGAUGCUGUACCUUGAAAUAUUGUAACAUUUAUCUCCUUUGAAUAAGAAGACUCUCUUAUGUAAUCACAAUACCAUAAUCUUACUGAGGAAAUUUAACAUCGAUUGACUAUAAUACAAGUCCAUAUUCAAAUUUCACCAGUUGUCCCAAUAAUGUCUUUUAAAGCUGCUACUUUUAAUUAAAGAAAUUCCAUCAAGGAUUGUGUAUUGCAAUUUA